ensembl:lncRNA
GAAAAAACAUCCGGAAAAGAUCCCCGAUUGUUCUUCUGUUCGUUUAAACGAAGAACACCAGAAGACGCUUCUUUACGCAUCAGAAUUCCUGAGCGACAAAUCCACUAAAAGACAUGACGACGCAUUCUCUUCCUUUUUUAGAGAACAGUCCUGGUCAAAACCUCCAGGUGGGAAAUGGAGUAAACAACAUUUUUGUGACACAGUCGCAGGACAGCAGAAGGGAAGAUGAUGCCAAUCACAUACCAGUUUUAAAAGUGCCUUCGAGCAGAGUCUUGGAGGCAGGAGUGACUACUUUGCAAAAGACCCUGGUUCUGAAGAAACAGGCAGAGCUGGAUGAGGUGGAGAAGCGACUUGCACUUAAACGGCUGGAUUUUAAAGCCUGCAUGGAGGCCCUUGCUCAGCGAAGGUCUGAACUUGAAAUAAAACUACAAGAGACUAAAGAAAAAGUAGGGAAAUUUGAGAAGUUCGUAGCUGAGAAUGAAGCAAAGCAACGCAGAGCGUUAAAGAGCUGUGAAGCUUCACGGGUGCAAAACAUUUUUAAAAAGCAGCAGAUAAAAGAUUUGACAGAACAGCUUAAAGGAUUCAGAGACAGGAGCUGCUGCAACGUUUGCAACGUAUGGAGGCGGAGGUGGAGGAAGGCCAGCGGCAGCUGCAGAAUAUGAAGGAGGAACACAGCGUAAAGAAACUGAUGGCCAAUAAAGAGCUGUCUGAACUGCAGAGUGAGUUAGAGACCCUCAAAGAGAAGAACAAGCAGGCAGAGGUUAACUUGCAGAUGGAGCAAGACUUAUCCAGAGAGAAGGUUACAGAAGUGGGAAGACUGCUUAUGGCCAUCAGCAACCUUGCAGAACAGUGUUACCUACCAGAAUACGGACCGCUGGAAAAGAUGAACGCGCUGACAAUGAUGGACAUGGUGAAGGAGUACAUUCUGGACAAGGUAGACACGGAGAGGAGAGCGAGGAGGAUGAUGGAGUUGGGGAGUUUGAUGACGAGCACAACCGCUGCGGCAAACAAAAGAGAGAGGGGGUCAAUGAGAAGCUUUGGAAGUAAAACACAAAUCAAAAGUUCAAGUAAAGUCAGCAGAAGGAGUGAGACAUUUGGUUGAUGUUGUAGUUUGAGUAUUCAUCACAGUGUUGUCUCUUAUGGUUUGUUGAGAGUGGAGGUUCGUUCUUGAGGUGGGAAGAAGCAUUUGCUACCACUUCGUAGCAAAUGAAGUGUUACCAAAACCUUGAGAAAAAAAAAGCUUGUAGGAGAACAUAAUGUUUUUUUUUCAUUAUUUGCCUUUAUAACAUUUGUUCAGUGUUUAAAAAAUGUGUGCAGCAACCUUUGCACUUAAGACGUCAUAGACAAGGAACUGAAAACGUAGCUGUUUGAAAUGAGAUCCUCAUGUUUAACAGGUCAUCCGAAGUUGUAAAUUUGGAUUUGGGCACAUUGUAUUGUGAAUGUUGCUUUUAUUUAAAAAAAAAAAAUAAAGUGGUCAUAAUCAAAUUAUGUAAAUGCUCACUCAAUCAACAGCAAUCCACCACCUUUGCAUCAUGCAAAACACC